rnacentral:rRNA from 1 species
GUUUGAUCCUGGCUCAGAUUGAACGCUGGCGGCAGGGCCUAACACAUGCAAGUGGCGGGUAGCACAGGAGAGCUUUGCUCUCGGGUGACGAGUGGCGGACGGGUGAGUAAUGUCUGGGAAACUGCCCGAUGGAGGGGGAUAACUACUGGAAACGGUAGCUAAUACCGCAUAACGUCGCAAGACCAAAGUGGGGGACCUUCGGGCCUCACACCAUCGGAUGUGCCCAGAUGGGAUUAGCUAGUAGGCGGGGUAAUGGCCCACCUAGGCGACGAUCCCUAGCUGGUCUGAGAGGAUGACCAGCCACACUGGAACUGAGACACGGUCCAGACUCCUACGGGAGGCAGCAGUGGGGAAUAUUGCACAAUGGGCGCAAGCCUGAUGCAGCCAUGCCGCGUGUAUGAAGAAGGCCUUCGGGUUGUAAAGUACUUUCAGCGGGGAGGAAGGCGAUGCGGUUAAUAACCGCGUCGAUUGACGUUACCCGCAGAAGAAGCACCGGCUAACUCCGUGCCAGCAGCCGCGGUAAUACGGAGGGUGCAAGCGUUAAUCGGAAUUACUGGGCGUAAAGCGCACGCAGGCGGUCUGUUAAGUCAGAUGUGAAAUCCCCGGGCUCAACCCGGGAACUGCAUUUGAAACUGGCAGGCUUGAGUCUCGUAGAGGGGGGUAGAAUUCCAGGUGUAGCGGUGAAAUGCGUAGAGAUCUGGAGGAAUACCGGUGGCGAAGGCGGCCCCCGAAGAGACGUCGAAAGU